AAAAAAUUAGUUUAUUUAAAAACAUUUAGUUGCAAACUAAAAAAAAAUAUUUUUUU
rnacentral:tRNA from 2 species